AUUGAACGCUAGCGGGAUGCUUUACACAUGCAAGUCGAACGGCAGCGCGGACUUCGGUCUGGCGGCGAGUGGCGAACGGGUGAGUAAUGUAUCGGAACGUGCCCAGUAGCGGGGGAUAACUACGCGAAAGCGUAGCUAAUACCGCAUACGCCCUACGGGGGAAAGCAGGGGAUCGUAAGACCUUGCACUAUUGGAGCGGCCGAUAUCGGAUUAGCUAGUUGGUGAGGUAACGGCUCACCAAGGCGACGAUCCGUAGCUGGUUUGAGAGGACGACCAGCCACACUGGGACCGAGACACGGCCCAGACUCCUACGGGAGGCAGCAGUGGGGAAUUUUGGACAAUGGGGGCAACCCUGAUCCAGCCAUCCCGCGUGUGCGAUGAAGGCCUUCGGGUUGUAAAGCACUUUUGGCAGGAAAGAAACGUCGCGGGCUAAUACCCCGUGGAACUGACGGUACCUGCAGAAUAAGCACCGGCUAACUACGUG
rnacentral:rRNA from 1 species